rnacentral:tRNA from 2 species
GCGGGUAUGGUGGAAUUGGCAGACACGAUGGAUUUAGGUUCCAUUGGGAAACCGUGCAGGUUCAAGUCCUGUUACCCGCACCA